GACAAGAGGUGGAGCAAAGUGAAGUUGCAAAGAUUGAUUGAAUCUAUAAAUGUGAGAUGUGUCUUCAAAGGUGUGUGAAGCAUAUUGUGUUAUUGGAUGCAUAAAGUGUAUGAAUGUCCAUUUCAAGCAUGUCAAAUGUGUAGUGAGAAUGCAAUAGGAGGCUAUUGCGCUGCUAAAUGAUCAUGGAGUCCACUAGGCA
rnacentral:lncRNA from 1 species